GGGUUUGAGGGCAAUCUGGUUGUGACAUCUGUCACCCCAUUGAUUGCCAGAGUUUAUUCAGCUGAUCUGGCUAGCUAGGAAUGUGUCCCCUUCCCCCCUUACCGCCACAUGUGUGCAUCCCUCCUGAAGCCGCAAACUCUAUCGAAGAGGAUAGAGAGGAGGACAGGUCUUGUCAAGUGUGGACACAUAGGUGCUCUCCCCAGUUAGAACCUCCAAACAAGCUAUAUUUUUUUAAGUGAGCCAAUUUUAAUUUAUAUUGGUGGUUCUGGAGAUUGCAUGCAGGGCCUUGCACAUGUUAGGCAAACAGUCUACUACUGAGAGUCAUUCCUA
rnacentral:snRNA from 1 species